rnacentral:rRNA from 1 species
GUGAGGAAUAUUGGUCAAUGGGCGGGAGCCUGAACCAGCCAAGUCGCGUGAAGGAAGAAGGAUCUAUGGUUCGUAAACUUCUUUUGCAGGGGAAUAAAGUGCAGGACGUGUCCUGUUUUGUAUGUACCCUGAGAAUAAGGAUCGGCUAACUCCGUGCCAGCAGCCGCGGUAAUACGGAGGAUCCGAGCGUUAUCCGGAUUUUUUGGGUUUAAAGGGUGCGUAGGUGGUUUGAUAAGUCAGCGGUGAAAGUUUGCAGCUUAACUGUAAAAAUGCCGUUGAAACUGUCGGACUUGAGUGUAAAUGAGGUAGGCGGAAUGCGUGGUGUAGCGGUGAAAUGCAUAGAUAUCACGCAGAACUCCGAUUGCGAAGGCAGCUUACUAAGCUACAACUGACACUGAAGCACGAAAGCGUGGGGAUCAAACAGGAUUAGAAACCCGAGUAGUCC